AUUUGCAUUUGCCAUGCCUCAACAGCAUGUACACACAAUAUAAUAAUUAACAUCGAUUUGGUAAGGCAUGGCAUGGGAACACAAUGCACAUUUUUUUAUAUAUACUGACAUAAAGACUAGUUUUAAACAUAAGUAAUUAUGAGGUGAGAAACAAAAAUGCAAGAAACGACAUAAUAUGAUAGUUGGUCAACGUUGCCCACAGACUACACAUUUUAGAACUUAUGUAGAGUAGGAUACCUGUUAGUCAAAGCUGUAAGAAAACCAUAGGCAUCCUUAUGCAGGAAUAACGUAGUAGGUUAAACUGAUUAUUCAUUUAUUUUAAAGGGACACUGUAGGCACCCAGACCACUUCUGCCCAUUUGAGUGGUCUGGGUGCCAACUCCC